rnacentral:rRNA from 1 species
GACAGAGGGGGCAAGCGUUGCUCGGAAUCACUGGGCGUAAAGGGCGCGUAGGCGGGGCGGUAAGUCGGUCGUGAAAUCCCACGGCUCAACUGUGGGGGGUCGGCCGAAACUGCCGUUCUUGAGGGAUGCAGAGGAGACUGGAAUUCCCGGUGUAGCGGUGAAAUGUGUAGAGAUCGGGAGGAACACCGGUGGCGAAGGCGGGUCUCUGGGCAUCUCCUGACGCUGAGGCGCGAAAGCGUGGGGAGCAAACGGG